AGAAUGAUCUAAGUCAUUUAACCAUGCUUUCGUUGAGCUUUGUACAUAAGAAGGAGAAAAUCCAAACAGCAGAAAUUUAGAGCACUGUGACUUUCGUGAACUCAAUUAACAUUUACCCUAGCUAGGCCCUAUAAAUUUGAGCUUUCCAUCUUCAGAUGGGCACCCCAAGCAAAGCUCUCUAUCUUCUUCUUCGGCUUACCCUCUCUCGCUCUUUGUUUCUCCAUCUCUCUCGCUUAAACUUCCUACCAUUGAUGGAACUGAAAAUCCAAAUCCUUACAUUAUCAUGAACUAUGUGUUCUUCCCCAAUGUUGUGCGUAAUGGAUUAACAGAAGUCCGGGAAGGAAUGAUAACAGAUGAGACAACUGAUCAUCAGUUCCUAGUACACUGCCACAAUGUUCUUCUGCCAUAUGAUCAUAUGUAUGUUCCUGAGAGAGCAACGCGAUUCCAAACUAACCGUCGUCUUCCCCAAAUUCCAUGGCAGCCUUAUACAAGGCAUAAUCCCAACUUCCUCAAAAUGUUAAAUGGCCAACAACGAAUGGGAUUGUGCCGGACAUGAUAUACUGGUCAUGACACCACAGGUUCUCUUGGAUGUCAUGAGGAAUGCUUUCUUCAACUUAGAAAUGUUUAGCUUGAUAAUCUUUGACGAAUGUCAUCGCGCUACUGGCAAUCAUCCUAUACGAAAAUAAUGAAGGUAGUUUAGCGGACCGUGUGCCAAGUUGAGCAUCUGCAUUGUGCUGCGAAACACCAUUGAAGCUAUUUUAAGCACAUACACACAUGAUUUUUAUCACCAAUCUGCGAACCGGCCAAAGAUUUUUGGGAUGACAGAAUCCCCUGUCAUAAGAAACGGUCAGAUAUUGGUGCUUCAUAGCUAGUGAAAUUCUACAAUCUGUUAUGCAAAAUAUUCAGGAGAUCCUUUCUAAUUUCUAAUUUUCUAGUGCCUCGUCCGCCAUGGAUUCUGAGGCUCAAAUAUCUGCACUGGAAAGCAUCUUGGAUGCUCAGGUAUUUUGAGAUCUGGUUAUGAUUAUUCUCCAUUUAUUAUUAGACGUGGUCACAGUUUUGUUGUCUAAAUAUCUUGAGACGGGCUGAUGCAAGUUUACACUGUAGAAGACAUGACUGAAAUCAAAACAUUUGUUCCCUCAGCAGUCCACAAAUGUAGGUUUUACGAGCAAGCACAGUACGCCUAUUUGGAUUUGAAAGAAAAGAUGGAAGCUUUGCUGUCGAAGGCUGUUAAAGUUUGUCUGUAGAAUGUCCCUGAUGCCAAAGAACAGUGCCGAUUCUAUAGAGAAUGGUAUUCGUAGUUGAAAUUUUUUCUUGAAGAAGUCUUGCUUAUGAUUGCGAGAUUUCUUCAACCUUGCAUGCCAAUUGGCUGCGAACUUCAUGCAGACUUUCAGUUUAACUGCACAAAGGCGUGCGAUUUGGGUUUCAUAUCUCUAAAGUUAUACGAACUACUACAAAUUUUCCAGUCAUUUGAACCGGUAGCAAAGUUCAAUGCCUCAUUUUUGUAGAGCAAAUUAUUACAGCUGAAGUGAUUGAAAUAUAUGUUAGAAAGUUCGGUGCUUAUCUCACUUGAUAGUUUCAUACGUGACUGGAAGUAACUGUUCAGCUGCUGCGCUAUCACCGAAGCUGCAAAAAGAAACUUUGGAAUCCUUUUCGCACCAUAGAUUUCUAUUUAUACGAAGCUUUGGUGUUAGAAAACCACAUAAUGAAUGAAGAAAAUAUUGAACAUGUUCUUACUGUCAACAGUAAUGAAGGAAUGUACAGAGAGAAAAUGUAGAGAGAGGAAGUAGAGAGAGAGUAAAAGAAUAUUAUGUAUUUUCCACAUCUAUAUCAAUCUGUUUACAUCCCUUACUUAUAUAUAAAUACAACCACCUUAUAACUAACUCAAUAUUCUCUACUCUACUAAUGACACCUGGCACUAACCUAAGGCAUUCCCUAACAUUCCCCCUCAAUCUUAUGAAGGGAAGAACCCAACAUAAGAUUGGAACAGUGAACCUAAAACUGAGAUGAACAUAAACCUUUGGUGAGCACAUCAGCACACUGUUUUGUGGUAGAGACAAACUGAAGCAUGAUUGUCCCUUGUUGAACUCUUUCACGAACAAAAUGGCAAUCUAUCUCGAUGUGUUUGGCUUUGGAAUGAAGUAUAGGAUUAGUAGCCAAUGCCAUAGUAGAAAGAUUAUCACAAUGAAGGAGUGGUACAGAUUGACAUGAAAUAUGCAAAUCCAGUAACAGUUGUUGAAUCCAUACUAUUUCAACAGUAGUGGUGGCCAUAGCACGAUAUUCGGCUUCAGUAGACGAGCUGUAUGUUGUUUCUUGGAACUCCAAGAAAUAGGAUUAGAACCAAAAAACACAACAAAACCAGUUGUGGAUCAUCGGUCAUUGGGGUCUCCAGCCUAAUCAGCGUCAGUAUAUGCUUUAAUAUCAAGAGAUCCAUGUGUAAAAUUGAUACCAAGAUGCAUAGUGCCACGGAGAUAUCUUAAGAUCCGUUUAACAUCAAUGAAAUGAUCUUCAAGAGGAGCAUGCAUAAACUGACAAACCUGAUUCACUGAAUAGGCUAUGUCAGGUCGAGUAAAGGUUAGAUAUUGAAGAGCCCCAACGAUACUCCGAUAUUUGAAAGGAUCUAAGAAUAAGGUACUGCCAUGAUUCAACAGCUUGUGAUUAGGAUGGCAUGGAGUAAUGCAUGGCUUGCAAUGGAACAUGUCUGCCUUGUGUAACAAAUCCGUGAUAUACUUGGAUUGAUGAACAAAAAUACCACUGGAACGAUACUCAAUCUGUAAACCAAGAAAAUAAUGCAGAAGACCAAGAUCUUUCAUAUCAAACUCUGCAGUCAACUGUUGUAUCACACUUUGAACCUCAGCAACAUUAUUGCCUGUAAGAAUAAUGUCGUCCACAUACAACAAAAGAACAACAAUAGAUUGAUUCUCAUACUUGACAAACAAGGAUGGAUCAGCAUAAGAUGAUUUGAAGCCCAAAGUGAGAAGAAAUUUGGUAAAACGCUCAUUCCAGGCUUGGGGAGCCUGCUUCAACCCAUAUAGAGAUCUUUGGAGUUUACACACAUGUGUUGGGUGAAGAGGAUCUACAAAACCCUGAGGUUGAGCCAUAAAGACUUCCUCGUCAAGAAAGCCAUGUAAAAAAACAUUUUUUACAUCCAAUUGUUUGAGUUUCCAGCCAUUAGAAGCAGCUAAAGAAAGGAGAAGUCUCACUGUGGUAGGUUUAACCACAGGACUAAAAAUCUCAUAAUAAUCUAACCCAGCUUCUUGUGAAAACCCCUUAGCCACUAACCUGGCUUUGUACCUAGCAACAGUACCAUCAUGAUGUUUUUUUUUAUCUUAUAAAUCCACUUACACCCAACCAAGUUCUUAUCUGGAGGAAGGGGAACCAAGGUCCAAGUUUUCUGUUGAAGAGCAUCCAUUUCUUCUUGCAUUGCACCUCGCCACUCUGACAAUUUACAUGUUGCAGAGUAGGACUGAUGUUCUUGAUCACCAGAUUGAACUUCAACAGAAAAGGCCUGUUUUUCUUAAAAAUGCCCGACUUGGAUCGAGUCUGCAUAGGAUGAGAGUUAACAGUAGCAAUAGAAACUUGUUGCAACUCAGAAACUUGAGACAUAUGAGUAUCAGGAUGUAACUCAGACAUGACUUGACCAGAAAUAGCUGCACCGAACAUGUGAUCCAUUGAAAUAUCCCCUGGUAGUGAGGGAAUGGUACUAGAAGAAACAAACUCACUUGGUGCUGAAGAACAUACUGGAGGAUUAUGCUGAGAACUUGAAUCCCUGGAGAACACUUGGGGAAACGGUAUAGAUGCUAAAGGAGGAUGAUGAAAAGUAUUGGAGUGUACGGUGGAAGAUAUGGAAGCCACCUUGGAACCAGAGUCAAAAUGACUAGCCAUAUAAGUUGCAGGAAAAUGACUUUCAUCAAAUAGAACAUGUCGAGAGACAAUGAGUUUAUUGUCUUUAGGAUUAAAGCAGAUAAACCCUUUAUACUGAGCAGCAUAUCCCAAAAAUAUGCAUUCACUGGUCUUUGGUGCAAGCUUAUGAGAUAUAUAAGGCCUCAAUGAUGGAUAACAAGCACAACCAAAAAUCUUCAAGUGAUCGAGUUUGGGUGAAGAAUGAUAUAACACUUCAAAAGGUGACUUCAUAGACAAGACAGGUGUAGGCAUUCGAUUAAUAAGAUAUACUGCUGUGGCACAUGCAUGGUACCAAAACUUAGGAGGAAGACAAGCUUGUUGAAGAAGAGUGAUAGCUGUCUCGGUAAUAUGCCGAUUUUUUCUCUCUACUAGCCCAUUUUGUUGAGGAGUGUAAGGGCAAGACUUAUGAUGCAAAAUACCCUUGUCCUUAAGAAAAUUCUAAAAAUUAAUCCCAAUAUACUCUCCACCACCAUCACUUUGCAAUAUUCUGAUAUGAACAUUAAAGAAAUUUUGCACAAAAGCUUGAAAUUGGACAAACAGACCAAAAACAGUAGCUUUAUUCAUGAUAGGACAUAUCCAUGUGUACCUUGUACAUUCAUCAAUAAAGGACACAUAAUACCGAUAUCCUUCAAUAGACAAACUAGGUGACGGACCCCAAACAUCAGUGUGAAUGACUUCAAAAGGAAUUACAAACUUGGAAGCCAAAGAAGGAAAAGGUAGAUUGGCAAAUUUGCCUUGUAAACAAGCUUUACAAGUAUGGGAAGAAUUGAGACACGUAAAAGGAAUAUCUGCCUUAGAAAGAGCUGCCUGGACUACUGAAUUAGCAGGAUGACCCAAUCUGCAAUGCCAGAUUGCAGAAUUUAUUCUUUGUCUAAUAUAUGCUGCAGGAGAAACAUGAGAAGACUUCAUUACUGGUAAAGGAUAGACAGCAUUGUUACUCAAUCCUCGAUACAGAACUUCCUGAGUGACCUUGUCCUGUAUGCACACAGAAGACUCAUCAACAAUACACCUACAAUUAUUAUCCUUGCACAGUUGAUGCAUGGACAAUAAAUGUUGUGAUAAUUGAGGUACAUGUAAGACAAAUUUUAAACAAAGAUUAUGAGACUGUAAUGGAAGAUUAGAAUGUCCAAUAUGAGCAAUAUGUAAACCUUCUCCAUUAGCACCAGUGACAAUAUCAGAUGAUGAGUAAGGAGCAGCCAUUUGAAUGUUAGACAAAUCAGAAGUCAUAUGAUGUGUGGCCCCUGAGUCAAGUAACCAAUACUCUUGCUGUGGUGCAGAGGGAGAAGAAGUAGACCUCGCAGUCAUAGUAACCGGAGAAUGAUUUUGAGAGCUUAUCAUUGCAGGAUGAAACUGAGGUGGAUAAACCAUAUGGGCAGGUGGAAAUUGUGCAGGAAAAGUAGCCUAUUGAGAGCGUUGAAAUUGCUGUGGAGAGAACCCUUGUGAUGAUGAAUAAAACUGGGGAGGCACCAUUGAAGAAGAACCACUAUUUCAAUCAAAACAAGUUACAACAGUAUGCCCUUUCCGAUUGCAAAUUUGACACCCUUUUUGAAAACAAUGAAGAGCACUAUGACCUUUCCUAUUACAUAUUUGACAAAUCUGCAAAGGUUGAUACACUUGCUCAGUAGGCAUAGGAGAAUGGAGAGACUGAAAAGAAGAGCCCUGAAAAUUAUUUGAUGAAUACUGCUGUGGAAAUGAAGCACCAGUUUGUUGAUGUUGCUGAAAAUUAUUAUAAAAUUUCUUGCCUUUCCCAUUUGGUUUGAAGUUAUUCCCCCUGAAAUUGUUAUAAGUCCCUGAACCACCCUGAGAUACAAAAGCAAGAUGACUAUUCAUCUGAAACAUUUGAUUAGGAAAUGGCAUUUGUUGAAGCACUGGGGUUGAAGAGAUCGGAAAAUGUGAACCAUUGAAAGAAUGCUGAGAUGCACUAUGUGCUGCACCACCAAAUGAUCCCCCAGCAUCAUAGACUGAAUUAGAAGCAUACAUAGCAGACAUUAUAGGAGCCUGUUUAAUAACUUCGUCCAAAGUAGCCUCUUCAGCUUUCAAUUGGGAUCGCAAUUCUUUUAAAGACACAAGAUUCUCUCUGCCCCUUAUAACUGCCUUGAUAGUAUUAAACUCAUGGGGAAGACCUUUAAGAGCAACAAUUACAAUAUCCUCAUCGGAAAUAAGCACUCCAACAGCAGCAAGUUGAUCCCUACAGUCCUUGAUUCGCUGCAGAUACAAAUCAAUAGACUCUGACCCUUUCUUUAUGUUCUGCAGAUCAAUCUUCAUUUGAACAAUACUGGUUCUAGUCAGGUUAGAAAACCUUUCCCUCAGAUUAUUCCACAUUUCCUGUGAACUUUGACAACCAAUAACACAGGACAGAGCAGCAGUGGACAAUGUAGCAGUGAUGAGAGUCAUGAGAGCUUUAUCAUGAAUCUUCCAUACUUUGUAAUCAUCAGUAAUAUGGUGUGGAUUAGUAACAGUUUCGUCCUCAGAAUCAGAAUCAUGAUAUUUAUCUGGGCAAGGAAUGGAUCCAUCCACAAAACCAAGAAUUCCAUUUCCCUCUAAUAAAAGUCCCAUUUGAAAAUUCCAGGUAACAUAAUUGGAAUCAUCCAAUUUGACAGUGACAUUGUUACCAAUACUAGGAAUCAACGAAGAAAUUGGUGAUUGAGUAAGUGCUAAUUGAGCAACUGUAACCAUGAUGAGAACUGUAAAAGAUCAACGUAUCUUCAAGACUCAGAAAACAACCAAAACACACAACUUUUCAACAGGAUUCUCCACAGACGAACAACAAUACAUAUGCAAGCAAUAGGCACAUCAAGAAACCAGAUCAAGCAACGCAAUAAUCUCAAAUCGAGAUAAUAUCAAGAAAAUCUCGACAAUUCAACUUCAGCAACAAUCGCAAAUGAGCGAGACAAAAUGACGAUAAAACUACACCACAAUGCCUUCAAGAAACACACGACAGCAACAAUUAACGAAGGAAUUUCAAGAAGAACAAUCACCAACUGACAGACGAAAAAGCCCCAAAUUUUCUAGGGUUUCAGCCACCGAUUGAGAUCCUCGACGGAACGAGAGCAACUAUUACCAAGAACAAAGCACUAACAAGAUGAGCGGAAGCACAGGGAUCAGGAACCGACGACGGUGUUACCCUUUGCCGACGAAGAUACCAUGUCAACAGUAAUGAAUGAAUGUACAGAGAGAAAAUGUAGAGAGAGGAAGUAGAGAGAGAGUAAAAGAAUAUUAUGUAUUUUCCACAUCUAUAUCAAUCUGUUUACAUC